rnacentral:rRNA from 1 species
UACGUAGGGGGCAAGCGUUAUCCGGAUUUACUGGGUGUAAAGGGAGCGUAGACGGCCUUGCAAGUCUGGUGUGAAAGCCCGGGGCUCAACCCCGGGACUGUAUUGGGAACUGCAUGGCUGGAGUGCAGGAGAGGUAAGCGGAAUUCCUAGUGUAGCGGUGAAAUGCGUAGAUAUUAGGAGGAACACCAGUGGCGAAGGCGGCUUACUGGACUGUAACUGACGUUGAGGCUCGAAAGCGUGGGGAGCAAACAGG